rnacentral:rRNA from 1 species
CGGGUUGUGAGAGCAAGAGCCCGGAGAUGGAUUCUGAGACAUGAAUCCAGGCCCUACGGGGCGCAGCAGGCGCGAAAACUUUACAAUGCAGGAAACUGUGAUAAGGGAACACCGAGUGCUCGCAUCAAAUGCGGGCUGUCCACAUACCUAAAUCGUAUGUGUUAGCAAGGGCCGGGCAAGACCGGUGCCAGCCGCCGCGGUAAUACCGGUGGCCCGAGUGGUAGCCGCUUUUAUUGGGUCUAAAGGGUCCGUAGCCUGUCUGAUCAGUCCAUUGGGAAAUCCGGAUGCUCAACAUCCGGGCUUCCAGUGGAUACUGUCAGACUUGGGAUCGGGGGAGGUAAGAGGUACUACAGGGGUAGGAGUGAAAUCUUGUAAUCCUUGUGGGACCACCUGUGGCGAAGGCGUCUUACCAAAACGAGUCCGACGGUGAGGGACGAAAGCUGGGGGCACGAACCGGAUUAGAUACCCGGGUAGUCCCAGCCGUAAACGAUGCUCGCUAGGUGUCAGGCAUGGCGUGACUGUGUCUGGUGCCGAAGGGAAGCCGUGAAGCGAGCCACCUGGGAAGUACGGCCGCAAGGCUGAAACUUAAAGGAAUUGGCGGGGGAG